rnacentral:lncRNA from 1 species
UUACUAUUAUGAUCUCCGUGUCUAUAAAUAUAGGGUAAAUGCUCUUUUACUUCGCAAAAGAGACGGUCCUUCACUUCACUUCAGUUCACUAAAAUGGCAGCUGAGACUUCAUCUCCAUCCCAACCAUCCGAUAGGAAGCCUUCCGCCCUGAAAUUAUUUGGUUUUCCAUUAACUGACCACGACGAUGAAAUCCGAGACAAAACUGAAAAUUGUUUAGAGAGCAGGAAAUUCGAGUGCCAUUUUUGCCGGCGAGCCUUUGCCAACUCACAAGCAUUAGGAGGCCAUCAAAAUGCACAUAAGAGAGAGAGGCAAAGAGCGAGAAGAGCACAAUACCAUUGCGAUCGACGCUUGCUUGCAGCUGCUCCAAUUUUGAGCUCACAUGCCAUGAAAUCAACGUCGUCUUCUUCCAUUAUUUAUAAUGGAGGAUUUAUUAGAAACAUUGGUGUAGCUGCUAAAUUUAGGCCAUCGACGUCUCCCUUGCU